GCCUGUCCAGAGAAGCAGCACGUGUGCUGAUGAGGGAUGUCCCUUCUCAGUGACUUCCUCGGCUCUGCAGCUCACUGGGAAGCACAGGGCAACAGGGAUCCCUGAAGAUGUUACGCAGGAAUGUGGUGGCAGAGGAUGCACUGGAGAUCAGAAGUCAACCCCAGAGGACAUUGCAGUAGUCAAGAGAAAAUAAGGGGAAAAUGUGCUCUGACAUUAACUUGAUCGAUUAUGGUUCUUAAAGUACAAAUAUUUUAGAAGUGAGAAAAAUAACUCUGAGUAGACAUUUAUCCCCCCAGUUCCAACAACAGUUCUGUUCUAGUCACCAAUGAUCUUAAUCCUACGAAAGCAAUUCUAUGUCCUAACCUUCCUUAGACUAUCUCUGCAAUAUUGAACUUCUUCCCCCUUGAGGCCUUAUUCUAAAAUACUGUGACACCUCACUCUCUAGGUUUUUUCCACCUCACUGGCUGUUUCAUUUCAUUUUCCUUUGCUGAUUCCUUUAUUGCUCCACCUCUAAGUAUUAAGAUUCCCUGUGGCUUUAUACUUUGUUCCUUUCCCCCUUAUAUCUACAUAUUCUUUCUACAUGAUCUAACUCAGACCCGUGGCUUUGAAUACAUCUGUAUUCAGAUGAUACUCAAUAUUACAUUUUUAAUGCCAAGUUAAAUAUUUAUAUAUCCAGUGUCUAUUUGAUAUUUCAACUUAGAUCGGUAAUAUGUAUCUCAAAGUUAACAUAACUGAUAACAAAAUCUUCAUGCCCCAAUCUGUUCUGUCUCUGUACAUGGAAUCCUCAUUUGCCCAGGUGAUCAAGUAAUAAGCUAAGGCACAGCCUGAUUUCCAUCUCUGUAUCACUCAGAAGUAGCCUGUCAGUCUAAUUUCAGGGCAUAUCCUUAAUCGGUCCACUUUUCUCAACACAAACAGUACUAGUCCAAGCCACUGGGCUACUGCAUAGGCCUCUGUAAUGGAACCCUACUUCCCUUGUGGCUCCCUCCAAUUCUUUGAGAUCUUUCAAAUAUAAAUCAGAGAACAUCUCUUCCUUGCUUCACUCUUCAUUGUCUUCCCAUUGCAGUCAGAGUGAAAGCCAAGGACUUACCUUUGGCUUCUAGAACCCUGCUCUCAGAGAAAUUUGAAGACUUUAUCUUGCAUUGCUUUUCUCCUCCCUCACUAGAUGUGGCCUUUUCUAUUUCCAAUCACACCCAGCUCAUGCCUGAUUUCAGGAUUUUCUGAAUGCUGCACUCUCUCCCAGUGGUCUCUCCCAGUCACAUUCUGUCUCCUGAUACUACAUCCAACUUCUUUGCAUCAUUUAGCUUUCAUCUCCUAUUUCCUGACUCCAAGAGGCCUUUCCUGAUUCUCCCAGAUCUCUUAUAUGCACAACUGGCAGUAGGGUUCAUGCUCCUAGAAGAAUCUAAUGGUGCUGCUGAUGUGAUAGGAGGUGGAGCUCAGGCGGUGAUAUGAGAGAUGGGAAGCCGCUGUGAACACAGAUGAAACUUCACUGGCUCACCUGCUGCUCACCUCUUGUUGUGGGGCUCCGGUUGCUGACCGGCUACAGACCAGUCCACGGCCUGGGAAUUGGGGACCACAGUUAUACACAGUUGUA